AUGGUGUAUAAAUGGUGUAUUGUGCCACAAUGUACAAAUACUUCUAUAAAAACUCCACAAAAACUGUUUGUUUCUGUUCCAACGAACCCUAAGAGACGUAAUAAGUGGUUACAGUUAGCUCGAAGAGACCCAAAAAGCAUUUUAUCUCAUACAAAUGUUUUAUGUGUGAAAAUAACUUUGAUAUGGAAAGAGAUACAAUUAAUUACAUGAAGUACAAAAUGGGCUUUAGUUCGAAGAUUCUUUUGACUGAUGAGGCGGUGCCAAACUCUGCCAAGAGGAUCGUAAGCGUCGGUUGGGCGACCCUAAUCAUCAGAGUGCAAUAAUUGCUAAAAGAAAAAAGGAUGGAGCUUCUCAAACAAAUUGAAGAAGGACUCCAUGUUUAAAGUAAGGACAUGACGGAGACUGCAAAUAGAUGACAAUAUUGUACAGUAAGCUAUUGAACCUGAUGAAGAAACACCAAAUAACGAGACACAGAAAACACAACUGAUCCUAUAUAA